GAGUUGCCUGGAGGUUGCUGCAGAUUAAUUCUCACUCUCUCUGUCUAGGUUUCUCUUCAGGUUUUGUCUAGGGUUUUGUUCCAAGGAAACCUCAGAGUGUUUUGCUUCUCUCCCUUUUUCUGUCUGUUCUCCCUCUUUUAUAACCUGAUUUUCAUGGCUUUGUGGGCUCAAAUGAGAGAGGUCCAAGUUUGAGAUUUUUUCUUUUAUUUAUUUAUUUA
rnacentral:lncRNA from 1 species